GUGGUGACUGCAGAUUAAACUAUCCUGGAUACUGUGCCAAAUAUGGUACAUACUCCGUGAUUGAGGACCGAAUUAACAAGGUUUUGGAUCUUCAACUUGUCCAGAGCUCAGAAGUUCCAAACAGCUCCUGGUGUGAGUUAGAGGGUCUUAAGCGCAGUAUGUGGUUCCUGAAGGACCAA